UUGAAAGGGAAACGAUUGAAGUCAGUCGUACCUGCGGGUAAUCAGCCUUUUGGGUGUGAUUAUGUGGAGCGUGAGGAGCUAAUCGCCUUCAUCUUUGCAUAUUCGUGCACUUUGGGUGUACUUGCUCGUGUGGUAGGUUAACAUCAAUUUUGAUCGUCAUAAAAUGACUGGAGGAAUGUAGCUUCGAUCUCGUAUUGAAGUGUUAUAGCCUUCGGUAGAUGUGAUGAUUAGGAUUGAGGAUUGCAACGAACCCUUCGGGGCUACCUGUCUGAUCUCUGAAAGUUGCUCUGGUGCCGAAAGCUUGCUUACGGUAUCAAAGUUGACGUUCAACAGGUUAGAACGGGAUAAAUUCGUUAAGGAUGUUGACGUA
rnacentral:rRNA from 1 species